GAGGAUCCCGAAGAGAAGCCGGAAGUUUGCCAUCUUACUGGUGGGGACCCUUCAGUGCUCACUCACCAGAUAAAACUUUCAGUUUAUCACUAGCCAUAGCCAGCUGUCAGACUUCAUGUGACUUCUCUCCACAGGCUUCUAUUGGAAACACCCUCAGUGACUGUGUCAUUGAUCAAUAGCUUGUGCAGGCUCAGCCACACUUACCAAAGCAUUUCCGCUGUGCUGGAUGGGACCUCAGACUGGAAGUGAUGUCUGGGUUCUUGAUCACGAAGACGAAGUAUGAGCUUCACAAACACUCACGAUACCAGCAUCUUGAUCUGGAGGCAUAUGAAACAAGGCCACCUGCUCAGACCCCAUGGUUGGCUGAGGUAUUGUUUGCUAAAGAAGGCCCUCACCCUACUCUGACUACACUGACAGUCCCUGUCUCAGAAGGAUCCCAGCCUUAUCUCCCCCUGCAGCAGAAGGAAGAAUGGAAGCACACCCCUCAGGCAGGAGAAACUCCACUACAGACUGUGCCUGGUCAUACAUGUAUCUGUUUUAAAUGGGUCUGUUAGGCAGGAAAAUAGAUAUGAGCAGGGUGGAAAGAGAAAAAGGCCAGAAAGUCCACUAAA